UACGUAGGGUCCGAGCGUUGUCCGGAUUUACUGGGCGUAAAGAGCGCGCAGGCGGUCGUUCAAGUCGAGUGUGAAAGCCCCCGGCUCAACUGGGGAGGGUCAUUCGAUACUGAUCGACUCGAAGGCAGGAGAGGGAAGCGGAAUUCCCGGUGUAGUGGUGAAAUGCGUAGAUAUCGGGAGGAACACCAGUGGCGAAGGCGGCUUCCUGGCCUGUUCUUGACGCUGAGGCGCGAAAGCUAGGGGAGCAAACGGG
rnacentral:rRNA from 1 species